GACGAACGCUGGCGGCGUGCCUAAUACAUGCAAGUUGAGCGCUGAAGGUUGGUACUUGUACCAACUGGAUGAGCAGCGAACGGGUGAGUAACGCGUGGGGAAUCUGCCUUUGAGCGGGGGACAACAUUUGGAAACGAAUGCUAAUACCGCAUAAAAACUUUAAACACAAGGUUUAAGUGUGAAAGAUGCAAUUGCAUCACUCAAAGAUGAUCCCGCGUUGUAUUAGCUAGUUGGUGAGGUAAAGGCUCACCCAGGCGAUGCUACAUAGCCGAGCUGAGCAGGUGGUCGGCCACCUCUGGACUGGGGCACGGCCCCAACCCCUUCGGGGGGCAGCAGUAGGGAAUCUUUGGCCAUGGACGAAAGUCUGACCGAGCAACGCCGCGUGAGUGAAGAAGGGUUUCGGAUUGUAAAACUCUGUUGGUAGGGAAGAACGUUGGUUAGAGUGGAAAGCUCAUCUAGUGACGUUAACUACCCAGAAAGGGACGGCUAACUACGUG
rnacentral:rRNA from 1 species